rnacentral:rRNA from 1 species
GAUGAACGCUGGCGGCGUGCCUAAUACAUGCAAGUCGAGCGAACAGAUGAGGAGCUUGCUCCUCUGACGUUAGCGGCGGACGGGUGAGUAACACGUGGAUAACCUCCCUCUAAGACUGGGAUAACUUCGGGAAACCGGAGCUAAUACCGGAUAAUCUAUUGAACCGCAUGGUUCAAUAGUGAAAGACGGUUUUGCUGUCACUUAUAGAUGGAUCCGCGCCGCAUUAGCUAGUUGGUAAGGUAACGGCUUACCAAGGCAACGAUGCGUAGCCGACCUGAGAGGGGGAUCGGCCACCCUGGAACUGAGACACGGUCCAGAGUCCUACGGGAGGCAGAAGUAGGGAAUCUUCCGCAAUGGGCUAAAGCCUGACGGAGCAACGCCGCGUGAGGGAUGAAGGUCUUCGGAUCGUAAAACUCUGUUAUUAGGGAAGAACAAAUGUGUAAGUAACUAUGCACGUCUUGACGGUACCUAAUCAGAAAGCCACGGCUAACUACGUG